UUAAACUUAACGCUUUUCAUCACUCUAACACACACUACUUCAGCCAGAGGGUCUUCAUUGCAUACCUCCAACCCUAACCCCAUGGCCCUCCAAGUCUCUAACCCCAUCGCGCCUCCAACCCGAACGCCAGAGAUUCAUCGCGCUUCCGUCGAGCUUGGCUACCGUCAUCUUCGUCUUCCUCAUCUCCUCCUCGUGACCCAGACCCAGAAAGCCCUAGCCCUCCAUCUCUUCUCUCUUCUUCAAGCUGUGUCGCAGCCGCCGUCCUAGUGCCGCCGUUCCAUCGCCACUUCGAACCCUAAGCACCAGCCCGGGUUCUUCUCCUCCUCUGCUCUCUCACUCUUCCUCCGAUUACACAACACACCAACCUAGAUCUAUUCUUAUCUUCUCGAUUCUCAGAUCCAAGAUCUUGAUGGCUUAGGGAAGAUAUGAUAUGAGGAAUUACAUGCCCAAAGUUGGUUCCCUUGGUCUUGACAUGAUGUUCAGAACAUGUACUGUACAGGUCAGGCUGAAGAGGUAUUUGGAGAUGAGAGGUGCUUGGAGGGCCAUGGAGAAGGUUAUGUGCCUUACCAGCACUUUGGUUUUCAGGCUAAAGGAAUGAAUUACUUGCAUACAAGCAAUCCUCCCAUUGUCCAUUGAGAUUUGAGGUCUCCAAAUCUUCUUGUUGACAAGCAUUGGGUUGUUAAGGUGGAUAUGACAAAGAAUAAAAGGCCGCGAGAGCUUAUGAUUUGGCAGCUUUAAAGUAUUGGGGUCCCACUGCUACCAGCAACUUCCCUGUAAAGGCAUCACCAAGGUAGGUGGCAAGCAAGAAUUGGCCGCAUUGCUAGAAACAAAGAUCUUUACUUGGGAACAUUCACAACUGAAGAAGAAGCUGCUUAGGCAUAUAAUAUAGCAGCUAUAAAGUUCCAAGGUGGAAAUGCAGUAACCAACUUUGAGAUGAGCAGGUACGAUGUUGAUGCCAUAAUGAAAGAGCUAUCUUCCUCUUGGCGGCGCGACAAAACGCUUGAAACUCUCCCUAGAAUCAGAACAGAAUUUUUUGAAAUCAGAGUUUUGAACUCAAGUUUUAUUUUGUAUUUGAAUAUUAGUUUUUUGAUGUAUAAAAUAAUUAUAGAAAAAUUAUGUCACUAAUUACUGUUUGAUUUGUCUUGUAAUAAAAAUUGCACACUAUAUUUAUAAGUUUGGUAAAAAAA